UUAUAACUGAAAAAUGUGAUGC
rnacentral:siRNA from 1 species